rnacentral:rRNA from 1 species
CAGCAGCCGCGGUAAUACCGGCGGCCCGAGUGGCGGUCACUAUUAUUGGGCUUAAAGCGUCCGUAGCCGGGUUGGGAAGUCCUCCGGGAAAUCUGGCCGCUUAACGGUCAGAAUGCCGGAGGAUACUCCCAGCCUAGGGGGCGGGAGAGGCCGAGGGUAUUCCCGGAGUAGGGGUGAAAUCCUAUAAUCCCGGGAGGACCCCCUGUGGCGAAGGCGCUCGGCUGGAACGCGUCCGACGGUGAGGGACGAAGGCCAGGGGAGCAAACCGGAUUAGAUACCCGGGUAGUCCUGGCGGUGAACGAUGCGGACUUUGUGUCGGACAAGCUAUGAGCUUGUCCGGUGCCGGAGGGAAACCGUUAAGUCCGCCGCCUGGGGAGUACGGCCGCAAGGUUGAAACUUAAAGGAAUUGGCGGG